rnacentral:lncRNA from 1 species
GCUAAUUCCUCUCGAUCCCUCAUUUUAUCAUAUUUUAGGAGACCUCCGGUAGUAGGGUUAAUUGUUGUUUGACUUCCAUCCCAAUUAGCUCCCCAUUCUAUAGGAUGGAUAGUCGACAGAUGUCUAGUAAGUGUCCCAGUCCCCCCUAAAUUACCUCCGUCAAAUGUUUAAACGUUUCGUUACAAAGUUUGCACUUAACUCUAUCAUUACCUUCUAUUAUUUCAAAAAAUUUCCAAACAGGACUUCUUUUUUUACGAGUAGAA